rnacentral:rRNA from 1 species
AUUAAACGCUGGCGGCAUGCCUUACACAUGCAAGUCGAACGGUAGCGCGGGGCAACCUGGCGACGAGUGGCGAACGGGUGAGUAAAGCAUCGGAACGUGCCCUGGAAUGGGGGAUAACGUAGCGAAAGUUACGCUAAUACCGCAUAUUCUGUGAGCAGGAAAGCAGGGGAUCGCAAGACCUUGCGUUCUGGGAGCGGCCGAUGUCGGAUUAGCUAGUUGGUGGGGUAAAAGCCUACCAAGGCGACGAUCCGUAGCGGGUCUGAGAGGAUGAUCCGCCACACUGGGACUGAGACACGGCCCAGACUCCUACGGGAGGCAGGCAGUGGGGGAAUUUUUGGGACAAUGGGCGGUAAGCCUGAUCCAGCCAUGCCGCGUGAGUGAAGAAGGCCUGGUU